rnacentral:misc_RNA from 1 species
GACAGAGGGUGCAAGCGUUGUUCGGAAUCAUUGGGCGUAAAGCGCGCGUAGGCGGCGGCGUAAGUCGAAUGUGAAAACCCUGGGCUUAACCUAGGAAGUGCAUUCGAAACUGUGUCGCUUGAGUCCCGGAGAGGGUGGCAGAAUUCCCAGUGUAGAGGUGAAAUUCGUAGAUAUUGGGAGGAAUACCAGUGGCGAAGGCGGCCACCUGGACGGAGACUGACGCUGAGGUGCGAAAGCGUGGGGAGCAAACAGG